UACGAAGGGGGCUAGCGUUGUUCGGAAUUACUGGGCGUAAAGCGCACGUAGGCGGAUAUUUAAGUCAGGGGUGAAAUCCCAGAGCUCAACUCUGGAACUGCCUUUGAUACUGGGUAUCUUGAGUAUGGAAGAGGUAAGUGGAAUUGCGAGUGUAGAGGUGAAAUUCGUAGAUAUUCGCAGGAACACCAGUGGCGAAGGCGGCUUACUGGUCCAUAACUGACGCUGAGGUGCGAAAGCGUGGG
rnacentral:rRNA from 1 species